rnacentral:rRNA from 1 species
AGUGAUGAUUAUUGGAGGUAGAGCACUGUUUGGACGAGGGGCCCCUCUCGGGUUACCGAAUUCAGACAAACUCCGAAUGCCAAAUAAUUUAACUUGGGAGUCAGAAUGUGGGUGAUAAGGUCCAUAUUCGAAAGGGAAACAGCCCAGACCACCAGCUAAGGUCCCAAAAUAUAUGUUAAGUGGAAAAGGAUGUGGCGUUGCCCAGACAACUAGGAUGUUGGCUUAGAAGCAGCCAUCAUUUAAAGAGUGCGUAAUAGCUCACUAGUCGAGUGACACUGCGCCGAAAAUGUACCGGGGCUAAACAUAUUACCGAAGCUGUGGAUUGUCCUUUGGACAAUGGUAGGAGAGCGUUCUAAGGGCGUUGAAGCAUGAUCGCAAGGACAUGUGGAGCGCUUAGAAGUGAGAAUGCCGGUGUGAGUAGCGAAAGACGGGUGAGAAUCCCGUCCACCGAUUGACUAAGGUUUCCAGAGGAAGGCUCGUCCGCUCUGGGUUAGUCGGGUCCUAAGCUGAGGCCGACAGGCGUAGGCGAUGGAUAACAGGUUGAUAUUCCUGUACCACCAUUAUUCGUUUUAAGCGAUGGGGGGACGCAGUAGGAUAGGCGAAGCGUGCUGUUGGAGUGCACGUCCAAGCAGUGAGAUUGAGUGUUAGGCAAAUCCGGCACUCUUAAGAUUGAGCUGUGAUGGGGAGAGGAACUUGUUCCUCGAGUCGUUGAUUUCACACUGCCGAGAAAAGCCUCUAGCUAGAAUAACGGUGCCCGUACCGCAAACCGACACAGGUAGUCAAGAUGAGAAUUCUAAGGUGAGCGAGCGAACUCUCGUUAAGGAACUCGGCAAAAUGACCCCGUAACUUCGGGAGAAGGGGUGCUCUUUGAGGUUCACGCUUCGAAGAGCCGCAGUGAAUAGGCCCAAGCGACUGUUUAUCAAAAACACAGGUCUCUGCUAAACCGUAAGGUGACGUAUAGGGGCUGACGCCUGCCCGGUGCUGGAAGGUUAAGAGGAGUGGUUAGCGCAAGCGAAGCUACGAAUCGAAGCCCCAGUAAACGGCGGCCGUAACUAUAACGGUCCUAAGGUAGCGAAAUUCCUUGUCGGGUAAGUUCCGACCCGCACGAAAGGCGUAACGAUUUGGGCACUGUCUCAACGAGAGACUCGGUGAAAUCAUAGUACCGGUGAAGAUGCCGGUUACCCGCGACAGGACGGAAAGACCCCGUGGAGCUUUACUGUAGCCUGAUAUUGAAAUUCGGUACAGUUUGUACAGGAUAGGUAGGAGCCUUAGAAGCGUGAGCGCUAGCUUACGUGGAGGCAUUGGUGGGAUACUACCCUAAUUGUAUUGGAUUUCUAACCCGCAGCACUUAUCGUGCUGGGAGACAGUGUCAGGCGGGCAGUUUGACUGGGGCGGUCGCCUCCUAAAGAGUAACGGAGGCGCUCAAAGGUUCCCUCAGAAUGGUUGGAAAUCAUUCAUAGAGUGUAAAGGCAUAAGGGAGCUUGACUGCGAGACCUACAAGUCGAGCAGGGUCGAAAGACGGACUUAGUGAUCCGGUGGUUCCGCAUGGAAGGGCCAUCGCUCAACGGAUAAAAGCUACCCCGGGGAUAACAGGCUUAUCUCCCCCAAGAGUUCACAUCGACGGGGAGGUUUGGCACCUCGAUGUCGGCUCAUCGCAUCCUGGGGCUGUAGUCGGUCCCAAGGGUUGGGCUGUUCGCCCAUUAAAGCGGUACGCGAGCUGGGUUCAGAACGUCGUGAGACAGUUCGGUCCCUAUCCGUCGUGGGCGUAGGAAAUUUGAGAGGAGCUGUCCUUAGUACGAGAGGACCGGGAUGGACAUACCUCUGGUGUACCAGUUGUCGUGCCAACGGCAUAGCUGGGUAGCUAUGUAUGGACGGGAUAAGUGCUGAAAGCAUCUAAGCAUGAAGCCCCCCUCGAGAUGAGAUUUCCCAACUUCGGUUAUAAGAUCCCUCAAAGAUGAUGAGGUGAAUAGGUUCGAGGUGGAAGCGUAGCGAUACGUGGAGCUGACGAAUACUAAUCGAUCGAAGACUUAAUCAA